UGCUACUUUCCAUUAGCUAGCUCUGAAGAAGUAAUAUAAAUGAAAUUUAAUGGAUUUGGCGGCAAGAUAGCCCAAUUAGAGGAACCUGCCCUAUAAUCGAUGUUCCACGAGAGACUUUACUUUUUUUAGCAAUCAGUUCGUAUAUCGUUGUUGUUAGCUUGGUUCCGCAGGAUACUUUCAAUAAUGGGAAAAUCAUUGACUUCAAAUAAAGGUGCAGCUUAUGAAAAAGAAAGAGGUGGGUUACAAUUCUUCUGAAGAAUACGGAUAGCAUAAUGAAAAAAUUGCUUGAAGGUGGAUUUAAUAGUAAGAUCAUACAUUAAGAUCUGACUCGAGCUCUAACUUGU
rnacentral:rRNA from 1 species